GGGUAGAUGGCAGAGCGGUCAAUUGCACUUGGCUGUAAACCAAGCGACCUUUGGUCUACGGGGGUUCGAAUCCCUCUCUACCCA
rnacentral:tRNA from 1 species